rnacentral:rRNA from 1 species
UUACCAAAAACAUAGCCCUUGAAAAAAUCAGAGGUGAGACCUGCCCAAUGAUUUCUAAUCAAAAAAUAAUAAAAAUAUUUAAAUGAAAUUAAAAGGACGCGGUAACCUUGACUGUGAUAAUGUAGCAUAAUCACUCGCCAUUUAAUUGAUGGAUAGUAUGAAUGGUUUAACGAAUAUUACACUAUCUAAAAAGUAGAUCUCAUGAAAAUGAAAUAAUAGUAAAGAUGCUAUUUAAGAUUGUAAGACGAAAAGACCCUAUAGAGCUUAACUACAUUCUUUUUAAAUAAAAUAGAAAUAUUCUUAAAAAAAGAAAGAAAGGUAGUUUAGUUGGGGCGACUAUUUUCUAAAAAUAACGAAAAUAAGCAAAAUUAAUAAAAUAAUUUAUUGUAUAAAAAACAUAUUUAACAAUUACUAAAGUAGGCUAUAAUGACCCGUUAAAUUUUAAUAAUAAAGAUAACGAUUAAUGAAUAAAAGCUACCUUAGGGAUAACAGGAUAAUUUUAUCUUAGAGUUCCUAUCGAAGAUAAAGUUUGUCACCUCUAUGUUGAAUUAAGAUAUCCAAAUAGUGCAGAAGCUAUUAAAGGUAGGUCUGUUCGACCUUUAAAAUCUUACAUGAUUUGAGUUCAUUCCGUA